CUGCCCAUAGAGGGACUGCCAAUCCGUCUGUCUAGUCUGUACUUGAGUUUGUUGCCUUGGCUAAUAUUACUGGUUUUACUGGUCCAUUUCGAAUUCUUCAGAGAUGAUUAUGAAGACCGAGGGGAUCUGCUUGCAAGCAUAAGUUGUAGUUUCAUAUGUGACAAUAUUUUUAUGUUGAUUCAUGUAGAUGGACAUCCGAAUUUACAUUUCCGAACGUGUAACUUUGACAGUUUUGUAAACGAAGUGUAACGUAGGCAGUCGUGUAUACAUUUGCGUAAACCGAAACCAUCCGAAUAGUGACGUUUUCGAUUUUAAGCAGCUAAACAGCUUCUCGACGUAUUGACUUCGCCGGCUGCCGAUGGGCUAGUCGCGUUGUCCUGGUAACGGGAGCGAACUCUCCGGAACUUUCGAGAAACGGGUGCCCCUAGUUACACGGCUGGCCGGUAGGGGGAGUACGGACCCGAAAAUGGCUGAAGUUGACGUGAGCUGUUCGUCAUUUAACAUUCUUCUGGCAAAUAUUCCACAGUAGUGGGAUAUAUUUAGCAAGCAGCUGUAAGUUCCCCACACAAUAUAUCCCAAUACUUUAUUAUUUAAGAUUAAAAAAACAUGUAUAAUAAACCUUGGCCUGUUCCAAUCAGCCAAUUUAAGUUACUUGAGUUGUGGCUCAAAGGGCUUUAACGUGACUUAACGUGCUCUCCACAAAUAAAGUGAGCAUGGAUUCUGCAGGAGAAACCGGUCCAGGUCGCCCAUUGGCACCAACCUGAGCCUAGAAGGUGAGGCCACCCGUCUCCCGGCUGAGAAGCAGGAGCUGCUGCAUAUCGCCCAGACCAUCACCACCAAGGCCCUGGGGGUGUCGACCCUGCAGCUGGCUGCCAGCGUACAGCCCCUGCUGGGGCCAGAGUAGUACCUGAAACUGGAGGCCGCAGGGAGCCCCAGCGAGAAUAAUGUGGUCAAACGCCCCACAUCCAGGCCCCCCGCUGGUCUGGAGAGCGCGGCCAGAAGGGAGGAGCCGGCAGCUGGCCACAGCCCUUACGGCCGAUGGGUGCCCAUGAAAGAGUGUCGUUCCCUCUCCUGAGUGACAAAAUCCCACCUUCAAAAACACAGUAGCGCUGUAGCCAGGUGCAGUGACAUUGUGAUGUCCUGGACAGUCUGUCCGAUUAAAAUGUUAGAUGUUUUCUUUCAGAUAUAAAAUCAAAUAGUUGGAGGAAGAUGAGGAAUUCGUGCAGGUGGGAUGUUUUUUUAUAAGCUUAUCAUUGCUGUUCUGCUGUGUAUAUAUUUGGUUUUUGCAGUUUAAAUAAAGACUCAUCCAAUA